CCUCACAUGAGUCAUUCCAGAGUUCCCUUGCUGGUCAGUGGGAACAUUCUAGUGUGUGACAUCUCCCUGGCAACAAGCUGAGUUCCUGGAAAACAACAAUCACAGAGAGACAGUCCACCACCUCUACCCUCUUAACUCUUCCUUAGAAAUCCUACUGUCUGCAGCUGGGAAUGAAUGGAAUGAAGGAUCUCACUCUGUUACCCAGGGUGGAGUGCAGGGGCAUGAACACGGAUCACUGCAGCUUCGACUUCCUGGCUCAAGCAAUCCUUCCACUUCCUGGCUCAAGCAAUCCUUCCACCUCAGCCUCCUAGUAACUGCAUCCUGGGCAAUAUCCCCAGCUGAAAGAUUACGCUUCCCAGCCUUCCUUGCAGCUAGACGUAGCCAUAUGACAAAAUGACGCCCAAUGAAGCAUACAUAGAAAAGUCAUGUGAGACUUCUGGAAAAGCUUCUGUAAAAGUGAGGAGCAGACACCCUUUUCUUUUUCUUCUCCUUUCUCUUGCUGUUGGCCUGGAAUGUGGACCUGAUGGAUGGAGCUCUGGCAAUCAUCUUGGAGUAUGAAGUGACCUUAAGGAUGAACAGAAAAGAAAAUGAGCCUGGGCCUUUAAUGACACAGUGGAGCUGCUCCCAGCUUGGCUACCUUCCUCUUAGUCUGCUUUUAUAAGAAAAUAUAUAUAUAUCUUGUUUAAGCACAAAUAUUUUGAGUUUUUCUGCUGUUUGUUGCUAAAAGUAAUUCUAAUUGUUCC
rnacentral:lncRNA from 1 species